rnacentral:rRNA from 1 species
GACGAACGCUGGCGGCGCGCCUAACACAUGCAAGUCGAACGAACGAGCGAGAGCUUGCUUUCUCGAGCGAGUGGCGAACGGGUGAGUAACGCGUGAGGAACCUGCCCCUAAGAGGGGGACAACAGUUGGAAACGACUGCUAAUACCGCAUAAGACCUCGUCCCGCCCUCGGGCAGGGGGAAAAGGAGCCAUCUGCUGUGAGAUGUCGGGGCGUCCGAGUAGCUUGUUGGUGUGGUAACGGCCCACCAAGGCGACGGUCGGUAGACGGAAUGGGAGACUGAGCCGAGACAUUGGGGGUGAGACGCAGCCGAGAAUCGUACGGAAGGGAGGAGAGGGGGAUAUUGCACAAUGGGGGGAGCCAUGAUGGCGCGACGACGGGUAGAGGAAGAAGGUAGUCGGAAACUAAUCUCCUGUUGUUGGGGAAGAUAAUGACGGUACCCAACAAGGAAGUGACGGCUAACUACGUG